rnacentral:misc_RNA from 1 species
AACGCACAUUGCGCCCCUUGGUAUUCCAUGGGGCAUGCCUGUUCGAGCGUCAUUUGUACUCUCAAGCCUUGCUUGGUGUUGGGUGUUUGUCUCUGCCUUGCUUAGACUCGCCUUAAAUAUAUUGGCAGCCGGUACACUGGUUUGAAGCGCAGCACAAUUGCAUUUCAGGCUCUUAGUAUUAGCAUCCACAAAGAUUAUUAACACUUUUGACCUCGGAUCAGGUAGGGAUACCCGCUGAACUUAA